UACGUAGGGGGCAAGCGUUAUCUGGAUUUACUGGGUGUAAAGGGAGCGUAGACGGACUUGCAAGUCUGAUGUGAAAAUCCGGGGCCCAACCCCGGAACUGCAUUGGAAACUGUAUAUCUAGAGUGUCGGAGAGGCAAGUGGAAUUCCUGGUGUAGCGGUGAAAUGCGUAGAUAUCAGGAGGAACACCAGUGGCGAAGGCGGCUUGCUGGACGAUGACUGACGUUGAGGCUCGAAAGCGUGGGGAGCAAACAGG
rnacentral:rRNA from 1 species